UACGGGGGGGGCAAGCGUUGUUCGGAAUUACUGGGCGUAAAGGGCGCGUAGGCGGCCUUCUAAGUCGGACGUGAAAUCCCUCGGCUUAACCGAGGAACUGCGUCUGAUACUGAAAGGCUUGAAUCCGGGAGAGGGAUGUGGAAUUCCAGGUGUAGCGGUGAAAUGCGUAGAUAUCUGGAGGAACACCGGUGGCGAAGGCGGCAUCCUGGACCGGUAUUGACGCUGAGGCGCGAAAGCUAGGGGAGCAAACGGG
rnacentral:rRNA from 1 species